UACGUAGGUGGCAAGCGUUGUCCGGAUUUAUUGGGUUUAAAGGGUGCGUAGGCGGCCUUAUAAGUCAGUGGUGAAAUAUCGCAGCUCAACUGUGAGGGUGCCAUUGAUACUGUAGGGCUUGAGUGAAUUUGAGGUAGGCGGAAUUGACGGUGUAGCGGUGAAAUGCUUAGAUAUCGUCAAGAACACCGAUAGUGAAGACAGCUUACCAAGCUUCAACUGACGCUGAGGCACGAAAGUGUGGGGAUCAAACAGG
rnacentral:rRNA from 1 species